GUCCACGCCCUAAACGAUGUCGACUAGGUGUUGGUGGGGUUAAACCCAUUAGUACCGCAGCUAACGCGUGAAGUCGACCGCCUGGGGAGUACGGUCGCAAGAUUAAAACUCAAAGGAAUUGACGGGGACCCGCACAAGCGGUGGAUUAUGUGGAUUAAUUCGAUGCAACGCGAAAACCUUACCUACCCUUGACAUGUACGGAAGCCCGAUGAGAGUUGGGUGUGCCCGAAAGGGAGCCGUAACACAGGUGCUGCAUGGCUGUCGU
rnacentral:rRNA from 1 species